rnacentral:rRNA from 1 species
GAUCAUGGCUCAGGAUGAACGCUGGCGGCGUGCUUAACACAUGCAAGUCGAGUGAAGCACUUUGCUUUAAUUUCUUCGGGAUGAAGAGCUUGGUGACUGAGCGGCGGACGGGUGAGUAACGCGUGGGCAACCUGCCUCAUACAGGGGGAUAACGGUUAGAAAUGACUGCUAAUACCGCAUAAGACCACAGCACCGCAUGGUGCAGGGGUAAAAACUCCGGUGGU